rnacentral:rRNA from 1 species
UGGAGGAAAGCAGGGGAUCGUAAGACCUUGCGCUUUUGGAGUGGCCGAUGCCUGAUUAGCUAGUUGGUGGGGUAAGAGCCUACCAAGGCGACGAUCAGUAGUUGGUCUGAGAGGACGACCAGCCACACUGGGACUGAGACACGGCCCAGACUCCUACGGGAGGCAGCAGUGGGGAAUUUUGGACAAUGGGCGAAAGCCUGAUCCAGCAAUGCCGCGUGAGUGAAGAAGGCCUUCGGGUUGUAAAGCUCUUUCAGUCGAGAAGAAAAGGUUGCGACUAAUAAUCGCAACUUAUGACGGUAUCGACAGAAGAAGCACCGGCUAACUACGUGCCAGCAGCCGCGGUAAUACGUAGGGUGCGAGCGUUAAUCGGAAUUACUGGGCGUAAAGGGUGCGCAGGCGGCUUUGUAAGUCAGAUGUGA